GUUUAGGGUUUCCCUAGAAACUGCCACUUCAAAGCCACCAAGGGAAAACUCAGGCAAUGUUGCUUCCUUCCUAGGACGCUUUGUUGUCUGCCUGCACCUGUGCAAAGCCUCCAGUCAGAUUUUGACACUUCACUAUUGAGCAAGCCAGCAGUUGCACACGGAGACCCUGAGGAGAGGACCCCUCACCAUGUCCUUCAUCUCCUGUCUGAAUUGUGGACCGUUAACAUGAAUAUUGCCAAAGCCUUCUUGCUUGCAUAGUCGAUGGUGAGACAAUGUCAGCAGUAGCAAGUGGUGUAGUGCCAUGUGGGUAGGAAGUACAUGAAGCUGAGAAGACAAAGGGCUUGAUCUUCGAUGGGCAAGUUUGACUACUGAUAGAGAAGCAGCUGGGACACCCCCCCCCCCAACCCAGGUAGUCCAAGGGGGUCAGGAAUCAGGAGUGGGGAUGUCCUUUUGACCUAUGAGUUACAGGGCUCCAAGAGGUCCUGGUUGAAUUUCCUCCACAGGUUGAAGCUGGUCAAUCUCUUUGACAACUAACAGCUAACAAAAUCCAAGGAGGGACCUCAGUGGGAGCAGAGUACAAACACCAUCUCUAUGAGGCUCCAUGUGCAAGGGAUGUGAGCAGAAGCAGCGUUCCAGGGGAAGCGUUAUGGGUG
rnacentral:lncRNA from 1 species